rnacentral:rRNA from 1 species
UCCUACGGGAGGCAGCAGUGGGGAAUCUUAGACAAUGGGCGCAAGCCUGAUCUAGCCAUGCCGCGUGAGUGACGAAGGCCUUAGGGUCGUAAAGCUCUUUCGCUGGGGAAGAUAAUGACUGUACCCAGUAAAGAAGUCCCGGCUAACUCCGUGCCAGCAGCCGCGGUAAUACGGAGGGGACUAGCGUUGUUCGGAAUUACUGGGCGUAAAGCGCGCGUAGGCGGAUUAGCCAGUCAGAGGUGAAAUCCCAGGGCUCAACCCUGGAACUGCCUUUGAUACUGCUAGUCUUGAGUUCGAGAGAGGUGAGUGGAAUUGCGAGUGUAGAGGUGAAAUUCGUAGAUAUUCGCAGGAACACCAGUGGCGAAGGCGGCUCACUGGCUCGAUACUGACGCUGAGGUGCGAAAGUGUGGGGAGCAAACAGGAUUAGAUACCCUGGUAGUCCACACCGUAAACGAUGAAUGCCAGACGUCGGCAAGCAUGCUUGUCGGUGUCACACCUAACGGAUUAAGCAUUCCGCCUGGGGAGUACGGUCGCAAGAUUAAAACUCAAAGGAAUUGACG